CCAAACAUGUAGAAUUCUACAUCAGCCAUCAGAUCAGAUAGGAAUCUCUAAUGUGUGUGACCCCACAAGUUCGAACCUAAGUCGGUAGCACAGGAACCAAUUCCUGUACUAAUCGAAGUGACCAUCUAGCAAUGGUACCCGACAUCCGGAUAGGUCGAAGAGUCGCAAUCGCAACACUCAGAACCUACAUGAAUAUGGUUACUGUAUAAUUCAUCCUUUUGACCCCUGUGUUUAGGACGACUCAGGGUUAAACUGUCAACCCUGAUCAGAUCAUCCGAAUCGUGCUCAACUCAAACAGUCCUGUGACUCCUCACAAGGACUACCCUGGUCA
rnacentral:lncRNA from 1 species